GUAUACUGGUGCAGGAUGGUAUGGCUUCACUGGUGGUGGAGGUGACUUGUAAAUUGGAGUUGGUGGUGGUGGAGAUUUGUAUACUGGUGCAGGAUGGUAUGGCUUCACUGGUGGUGGUGGUGACUUGUAAACAGGUGUUGGAGGUGGUGGUGACUUGUAUACUGGUGCAGGAUGGUAUGGC